rnacentral:rRNA from 1 species
GACGAACGCUGGCGGCGUGCCUAAUACAUGCAAGUCGAACGCUUCUUUCCUCCCGAGUGCUUGCACUCAAUUGGAAAGAGGAGUGGCGGACGGGUGAGUAACACGUGGGUAACCUACCCAUCAGAGGGGGAUAACACUUGGAAACAGGUGCUAAUACCGCAUAACAGUUUAUGCCGCAUGGCAUAAGAGUGAAAGGCGCUUUCGGGUGUCGCUGAUGGAUGGACCCGCGGUGCAUUAGCUAGUUGGUGAGGUAACGGCUCACCAAGGCCACGAUGCAUAGCCGACCUGAGAGGGUGAUCGGCCACACUGGGACUGAGACACGGCCCAGACUCCUACGGGAGGCAGCAGUAGGGAAUCUUCGGCAAUGGACGAAAGUCUGACCGAGCAACGCCGCGUGAGUGAAGAAGGCUUUCGGAUCGUAAAACUCUGUUGUUAGAGAAGAACAAGGACGUUAGUAACUGAACGUCCCCUGACGGUAUCUAACCAGAAAGCCACGGCUAACUACGUG